rnacentral:rRNA from 1 species
GACGUAGGGCGCGAGCGUUGUCCGGAUUUAUUGGGCGUAAAGAGCUCGUAGGCGGCUUGUCGCGUCCGAAUGUGAAAACCCACAGCUCAACUGUGGGCUUGCAUUCGAUACGGCAGGCUCGAGUUCGGUAGGGGAGACUGGAAUUCUGGUGUAGCGGUGAAAUGCGCAGAUAUCAGGAGGAACACCGGUGGCGAAGGCGG